CGGGCUGUUGGACAAGGGCGCGGUUCCUUCCGCUGGAGCAGGCGCGGGCGCGGGUUCCACCCUCGCGAGCCCGACC
rnacentral:tRNA from 1 species